rnacentral:rRNA from 1 species
UGCAGAAUCCCGUGAACCAUCGAGUCUUUGAACGCAAGUUGCGCCCGAGGGACCCUCCCGAGGGCACGCCUGCCUCAUGGGCGUUAGAAGCCCAUCCACGCUCGGUUGCCUCAUGGCAAAGAUGCGGACAUUGGCCCUCCGAACCGCGAGGUGCGGUGGGCCUAAGUGUGCGGCCGUCGUAUGUGGCCGGGAGCGGCGAGUGUUGGGCUACUGCGCACGUCACCCCGAGCCAUGUACUGACACAAGGCUUUUUUGGACCCCUAACGAGGAGCUUGCCGUCGCGGCCUGCGCUGCGCGGCGCCUUCGGACCGAUACCCCAGGUCAGGCGGGGCUACCCGCUGAGUUUAAGCAUAUAAAUAAGCGGAGGAGAAGAAACUUACAAGGAUUCCCCUAGUAACGGCGAGCGAACCGGGAGCAGCCCAGCCUUAGAAUCGCGGUGGCACUGCCGCCCGA